rnacentral:ncRNA from 1 species
AACCCGAAACGGUAAACCCUGGGAAACCAGGGGACACAAAGCUACGGAACUAAAGGUAUUUAAUAC